CCCUGCUGGUCUCUAGGGCUGAAGAAAAGGCACCCUGAGCAUUCCUAAGGAACCUGGGUACCCAGGCCGUUUGCCUCCUGCACAAGACUUGCAGGUUUAGUCAAAGUGGCCUGUGUGCCAUACCCUAGAAAGCCAGGUCUGCGAUUGGCUGGCCUCUUUCCCUCAUCCUAGGCCUGUACUGAAGAAUUGCUUGUCCCUUUGCAGAGCCUGAGCCCUGUCUGACAUGGUCCUGCUCAGGGGCAUCUUAUAUGCCAUAGGGUCCUACCUUGCAGGCGUGCAGUUGUUCAGAUGUCCCUUUUCCCCCCAGGAUGUGUUUGAGAUGAGGUUUGCCAAGAUGCCCGAUGAGCCCAUGGAGGUGCCUGCGCUGCCUGCUCCCACAGCCCCCAUCGUGAGCAAAGGGGCUGAGAGCAGCCGUAGUAGCGAGGAGAGCUCUUCGGACUCAGGCAGCUCAGACUCUGAAGAGGAGCGAGCCACUCGGCUGGCAGAGCUGCAGGAGCAGACUGGCUGCGGAGCCUUCCAGGAUCAGCUGUUGAAUGUCUCCUCUGUGCAGCUGAAAGCCGUGCACGAACAGCUGGCCGCCUUGUCUCAGGCCCCAGUGAACA
rnacentral:lncRNA from 1 species